UAUAGUGUGUGUCUUCAUCAGCAUUUGGAAUUUUAGGGAUUAAAAUAAGAGUGUUGGCAUUGAAGUUUGGCAUCAUCCAGCUAUUAAUGAAAAAAUCUAGGACAGCAUUCUCCACAUCUCUAUUGAUUACAUUCCAGUAAGUUUAGAAAAAGACUGCACCAAACCCAUCAGGUCCAGGGGCCCCAUCCUUGUUUAGAGAGAAAACUGCAUUUCUAAUCUCCUCUUUUGAAGGGAUUAAGGUAAGCAUGUUGUUGAUGUUGU
rnacentral:lncRNA from 1 species